UGUAAAAAGGGAUAAUUGCCUAUAUACCCCUCAAAACUUCGAAAAUAUCUCAUUUACUCCUACUUUUUUUUCUUUCCAAUAUACCCCUCAUAUGUUCCUCCGUUAUUCCAAAAUACCUCUGCAGUUACCACUCGUUAAGUUAACUUGGGUUAAACGUGAGUUAAAUAUCUACCACAGUUAAAAAAAUUAAAAUACCACUUUUGCCCUUAACAUAAGAGCAAAUAAGAAAUGUUGGUGAUGGUAGAAGGGUAUAUUUGAAAAGAUCAAAAAGCAAAAUAUCUUUUGUACCCCUAACUUAAGGGCAAAUAAGAAAAGUCGGUGAUGAUAGAAGGGUAUAUUUGAAAGGGCAAAAUAGUAAUUUAUAGAGAUAACUGAGUUCAUUAACAUAUUUUAACUCUAGGGGUAUAUUAGAAAUAGGUUGAAACGUAUAAAGGGUAUUUUCAAUAUUAGCCUUCUAAGAGGGGUAAAUCAAAAAGUCGGAAACUUUUCAGGGGUAUAUAAGCAAUUGCCCCUUGUAAAAAAUAAUGUUAAAAAAAUUAAAAAUAUUUGCAAAGUAAACUUGAGAGUUGAGGAAAAAAAAUUUAAAUUGAAAGUGUAAGAGUAGGAGGAAUUAAUCUUUGUAGAAGAAGAUGAAUGAACAGUUGUUUAUUAUGAUGAAUUUGGAUGUUUGUAGUAAUAUUUAUAGAUGUAAAAUAAAUUUUAUUUUUUUAAAAAAUAUAAAAUUAUUUUUUAUUUUUUGAU
rnacentral:lncRNA from 1 species